GAUGAACGCUGGCGGCGUGCCUAAUACAUGCAAGUCGAGCGAACGGACGAGAAGCUUGCUUCUCUGAUGUUAGCGGCGGACGGGUGAGUAACACGUGGAUAACCUACCUAUAAGACUGGGAUAACUUCGGGAAACCGGAGCUAAUACCGGAUAAUAUUUUGAACCGCAUGGUUCAAAAGUGAAAGACGGUCUUGCUGUCACUUAUAGAUGGAUCCGCGCUGCAUUAGCUAGUUGGUAAGAUAACGGCUUACCAAGGCAACGAUGCAUAGCCGACCUGAGAGGGUGAUCGGCCACACUGGAACUGAGACACGGUCCAGACUCCUACGGGAGGCAGCAGUAGGGAAUCUUCCGCAAUGGGCGAAAGCCUGACGGAGCAACGCCGCGUGAGUGAUGAAGGUCUUCGGAUCGUAAAACUCUGUUAUUAGGGAAGAACAUAUGUGUAAGUAACUGUGCACAUCUUGACGGUACCUAAUCAGAAAGCCACGGCUAACUACGUGCCAGCAGCCGCGGUAAUACGUAGGUGGCAAGCGUUAUCCGGAAUUAUUGGGCGUAAAGCGCGCGUAGGCGGUUUUUUAAGUCUGAUGUGAAAGCCCACGGCUCAACCGUGGAGGGUCAUUGGAAACUGGAAAACUUGAGUGCAGAAGAGGAAAGUGGAAUUCCAUGUGUAGCGGUGAAAUGCGCAGAGAUAUGGAGGAACACCAGUGGCGAAGGCGACUUUCUGGUCUGUAACUGACGCUGAUGUGCGAAAGCGUGGGGAUCAAACAGGAUUAGAUACCCUGGUAGUCCACGCCGUAAACGAUGAGUGCUAAGUGUUAGGGGGUUUCCGCCCCUUAGUGCUGCAGCUAACGCAUUAAGCACUCCGCCUGGGGAGUACGACCGCAAGGUUGAAACUCAAAGGAAUUGACGGGGACCCGCACAAGCGGCGGAGCAUGUGGUUUAAUUCGAAGCAACGCGAAGAACCUUACCAAAUCUUGACAUCCUUUGACAACUCUAGAGAUAGAGCCUUCCCCUUCGGGGGACAAAGUGACAGGUGGUGCAUGGUUGUCGUCAGCUCGUGUCGUGAGAUGUUGGGUUAAGUCCCGCAACGAGCGCAACCCUUAAGCUUAGUUGCCAUCAUUAAGUUGGGCACUCUAAGUUGACUGCCGGUGACAAACCGGAGGAAGGUGGGGAUGACGUCAAAUCAUCAUGCCCCUUAUGAUUUGGGCUACACACGUGCUACAAUGGACAAUACAAAGGGCAGCGAAACCGCGAGGUCAAGCAAAUCCCAUAAAGUUGUUCUCAGUUCGGAUUGUAGUCUGCAACUCGACUACAUGAAGCUGGAAUCGCUAGUAAUCGUAGAUCAGCAUGCUACGGUGAAUACGUUCCCGGGUCU
rnacentral:rRNA from 1 species